CAAUGAGAACGCGCCCAAUGCCUCAACAAAGCCAAAACUCGGCCAGGAACCAGAGCACCUCAGCUACAGAGAGUUCUCAUGAAAAGCCCAGGCCCUCAAGACGAACCAGCAAACUCCGACCACACUGCACCUGUCGCCUGUUGGGCCACCGGCAGCCCUGCAUGAACUGUCCUUACAUGGAAGCUUACAGCCCAGCAAGGGUUUAGGUUGAAGGACUGCUUAACUGUGCUGGCAAGCCAGGCUUGCUGCCAUGACAAAUCACUCUUUAUUACUAGUGAUGUAUGGCUGUGUUAUCCACUUAUCUAUGCCACCGUUUGAAGUUUAAAUUGGUUUCUUUUUUUUUUGCUAGCUUUUUCUCUCUUCUCACCACUUACUCUCACAUUCCUCACACACUAACCCAGCUGUGCAUUAGGUCUCCCAUACCAUGCACGGCCAUAAUUCAAAUGCAAACCGAGCAACAAGACUAUCCAUGUAGGUGAUGAGCCUUAAAGCCAUACCUACUCUGUGUGUUACUUUAAUUUUGGCCUGCUGUUAGUAUAUACAAUGCAGAUAUCUCACCUAUGCACAAUUAAGACUAACAGCAGUUAAGACUAACAGAUAUUGAUACAAGCACUUAUAAUAAAAC